GGAAUAUGAUGUGGGAUGGAUUUAAGGAUGCAUAUACUGAAAAGAAAAAUACGGUGGUGGAUCUUUAAUGUUAUGGGGCUACUUUGCUCACACUGGUCCUGGGGCCCUUGUUAAGGAAAGCAGCAUCGUGAACUCUACCCAAGUACCAGGACAAUUUAGCCCUAAACCUGACUACCUCUGCCAGCAGACUGAAACUAGUGGAUCUUUCAGCAAGACAAUGACCCCAAAUUCACGUUAAAAUCCACAAAUAAAAAGGUUAAUGAUGCAGAAGCAUCAUUGUGCAAUGGCUACAACAGUCUAAAGACUGCUGAAACUCCCUGAAAACCUGUGACUCAAUUGAACAGCACAGCCCAUAAGCACGGAUCAACAAAGACAUCAGGAUCUGGAAAGAUUGUCUGCCAAUUUGGGUCAGAACCCACUUGUGAAUCUGAUCUGGUGUGUUCAGGUGUCCUGAGACAGGGGGCGCUGUUUCUAAAAUGAGUUCCUCAGAGGAGACCGAGACUGACGAUGGAACCCACGGCCCUGCGAGAAAGAGGGUCCGGGUAGAGAGGGCAGGGUCACCUGUACCCAGCUGUCUGUCUAUGAAGAGUGAUCAUU